rnacentral:rRNA from 1 species
CGGUAUCGACUCCGCCAGUAUCGUAGCUAACGCGUUAAGUAUUCCGCCUGUGUAGUACGGCCGCAAGGUUGAAACAUAAAGAAAUUGACGGGGACCCGCACAAGCAGCGGAGCAUGUGGUUUAAUUCGAAGAUACGCGAAAAACCUUACCAGGACUUGACAUCCCCCGCAUAGCCCGGAAACGGGUGAAAGUAUAGCAAUAUAUCGGGGUGACAGAUGGUGCAUGGUUGUCGUCAGCUCGUGUCGUGAGAUGUUCGGUUAGGUCCGUCAACGAGCGCAACCCUUGUUUUCAGUUGCCAGCAUUAAGUUGGGCACUCUGGAGAGACUGCCGUAGUUAAUACGGAGGGAGGUGGGGAUGACGUCAAAUCAUCAUGCCUCUUACGUUCUGGGCUACACACGUGCUACAAUGGUGACCACAAACAGUUGCAAUAUGGUAACAUGGAGCCAAUCUGAAAAAAGUCAUCUCAAUUCGGAUUGUGGGCUGAAACUCGCCCACAUGAAGUCGGAGUUGCUAGUAAUCGUGAAUCAGCACGUCACGGUGAAUGCGUUCCCGGGUCUUGUACACACCGCCCGCCAAGCUACGGGAGUCGGGUGCAUCCAAAGCCGGUGCGUUAACCCUUCGGGGAGACAGCCGUCUAAGGUGAAACCGAUGACUAGAGUUAAGUCGUAACAAGGUAACCGUA